CGGCGGACGGGUGAGUAACGCGUGGGUAACCUGCCUCAUACAGGGGGAUAACAGUUAGAAAUGGCUGCUAAUACCGCAUAAGACCACAGUACUGCAUGGUACAGUGGUAAAAACUCCGGUGGUAUGAGAUGGACCCGCGUCUGAUUAGGUAGUUGGUGGGGUAACGGCCUACCAAGCCGACGAUCAGUAGCCGACCUGAGAGGGUGAUCGGCCACAUUGGGACUGAGACACGGCCCAG
rnacentral:rRNA from 1 species